GAUGAAGAACGUAGCGAAAUGCGAUAAGUAAUGUGAAUUGCAGAAUUCAGUGAAUCAUCGAAUCUUUGAACGCACAUUGCGCCCCCUGGUAUUCCGGGGGGCAUGCCUGUUCGAGCGUCAUUUCACCACUCAAGCCUCGCUUGGUAUUGGGCAACGCGGUCCGCCGCGUGCCUCAAAUCGACCGGCUGGGUCUUCUGUCCCCUAAGCGUUGUGGAAACUAUUCGCUAAAGGGUGUUCGGGAGGCUACGCCGUAAAACAACCCCAUUUCUAAGGUUGACCUCGGAUCAGGUAGGGAUACCCGCUGAACUUAAGCAUAUCAAUAAGCAGGA
rnacentral:misc_RNA from 1 species